rnacentral:lncRNA from 1 species
UGGCAAGGCUGAGUGGUUUUUUUUCUGUCAAAAGGUUUUGAUUUUUGUAAUAGAAAAUUACAAUAGGGCCGAAAGCCCAACAAGAAAACAAAACGAAAAGAGAUGGCCCAAUCACAAUACGGGCUCGCCUGAAACCUAAUCGGAAGAACAACGGAGGUAGAAAAUGGCUAAACGCCCAUCGAUCGAACACGCUUGCUUGGAGAGUCUCAAAAAGGUGAUUCAAUCAAACAUGUUUUGUAAUUGACCAUUAUUCAAAAAACAUAUUUAUCUAGAUGGAGUAAAUUUUAUGUUUUAAUUGAAUUUGAUAUUACAAAGUGACAGUAUUAGCAAAUAACACUCCGCCACUUCUAGACACCAACUCUUUUGUCCUUUAUUUACUUUACUUUUACCUCCUCUGCUUCACACAAGUUUUGAAUAAGAGAUUCUCCACAAAUAUCCUCCACAAAAGCCUCCAUGUUCUUAUCCGAAGAUCCUCCUUCUCUACCCGCUUCCAUCGCUAAACGCUUCCAUUUCUUUGCGUUUUCCCUCAACUCCACCGACUUCUCCUCCAUCACGGCUUCCAAACACCUCCUGAUCUCUCCUCUCUCCACCAAACCAUCCUUGUUCUCUCUUACCCUCACACCAGUCUUCCAACUUUCUUCCAGUAGCUUCGCGUUCGUCGGUUGAUCCGACCACAUCGGAAACGCCACAACCGGAACGCCAAGAACCAAACUCUCCAGCGUCGAGCUCCACCCACAAUGAGUCACAAAACAACCUACGGCUCGGUGACUUAAAACCUCUAUCUGCGAACACCACGACACAAUCAUCCCAACCUCUUCAAGCUCGUGUCUGAAUCCAGCUAUCUUCUCAAUCUCUGUCUCUUCUUCUCCUUCUGUUUUCGUUUCUCUGUUGGAUUUAUCAGUUAUAACCCACAAAAACGGUCGUUUCCCUUCUAUGAGUGCUCUCGCUAGUUCCUCUAUCUGUUUCUUGGACAACUCAACCAUUGUUCCAAAGGAAACGUAAAUAACAGAGGACUCUGUUUUCGAGUCUAGCCAAAGUGUAUAACUACUACUUUGAUCUUUAACUGAUUUGUUGGUGCUUCCUGAGAAAAUCUCCGUGGGAAGUAAAGGACCAACCGCCACCAUAUCGAUAUUCGGGAAAGCCGUUAAGGCCUCUGGUUCCAGCGAAUCGAAAGUGUUGAUGAGAAUUUUCGGUUUGGUUUCUUUUAUGAGAAACUCCAUCAUUUCUUGAAACGCAUCGUAUGCGCCUUUGUUUGUGUUGGAAGGUGUGAGGAAAGAUGGAAGAUCUCUGAUUUCCAGAGAAGACAGAUUAGGUAACUCGAAAACGGACUUGUUUCCCAUGAAAUGAGUGUAAUAGAUGUUGAAAACCAAAGCCGGUUGGAUCCAGAGAAGAGCGGAGGGAAGUUGAAAUCUACGUGCUACUUUUGGAGCCCAAUUGAGAAGAAUCGUGUAGAUCAAGCAAGUCACGGGAGAGUCACCAUUCUUAGUAGCUUCGAUGAAAUCCGAUAGUGCCUUAUCGCCGUUAACCUUGAGAUUCACCGACCUUUUCUGACGGUCUUCGUAGGUGGAAAUGCCUCCAUCGUCGAAACCGUCGGAGAAAGUAAGGAAAGAGAGAUUUUCGACUUUGUUGUGGUUUGCGAUCAUGGAGUUGUGGAAGACGGAGACACAAGUGACGAAAGUGACACGUGCGCCGGUUCUUUUGAUGAGCCGACGAGCAAAACGGAGAGAUGGGUUCACGUGACCUUGCGCCGGAAACGUUACCAGUAGAAAAUGCGGUGGCGCCAUUUUUUUUCUACUUGUCUUAGCUCCACUGAAGUGAGUAUCAAUACAAGAAUCUGUGUCUCUCCUUGUGGAUAUAUCUGUGCUUUCAUAUGUAUAUAUAUACAUAUAUAUAAAUAUAGAUGAGGAAUUGGAUUUUGAUGUCUGCACAUGCAUGCGUAUUCAUCAAACAUACGCAAAAUUGUACCACAUAACUUGUGACGUCUGCGAUGACGCUCACUAGAUAAACGCUUCAUCGUAUAAAUCCAAACUUGCGGUUGUUUUUUGCAGAUUUGAUGUUUACAUAUCAAUGAACAUACAAACAAAAACAACAUAUAGACAAUUUCAUUUCAGUCAUAUAAAAUAAGAGUGAAAAAGA